rnacentral:rRNA from 1 species
UACGAGGGAUGCAAGCGUUAUCCGGAAUUAUUGGGCGUAAAGCGUUUGUAGGCGGGCGAGUGUGUUUAAUGUUAAAUCUUAAAGCUCAACUUUGAAAUUGCGUUAAAAACUGCUUGUCUUGAGUAUGGUAGGGGUAAAGGGAAUUCCCAGUGUAGCGGUGAAAUGCGUAGAUAUUGGGAAGAACACUAAACAGCGAAGGCACUUUACUAGGCUAAUACUGACGCUGAGAAACGAAAGGUAAGGUAGCGAAACGGAUUAGAUACCCGUGUAGUCUUACCCGUAAACUAUGGACACUAAACGGUAAAUUUUUAAUUUACUGUUAAAGCUAACGCGUUAAGUGUCCCGCCUGGGGAGUAUGCUUGCAAAAGUGAAACUCAAAGGAAUUGACGGGGGCCCGCACAAGCGGUGGAGCAUGUGGUUUAAUUCGACGGUACACGAAGAACCUUACCAGGAUUUGACAUGCUAGAUAGUUGCUUGAAAGAGUAACGUGCCGUAAGGAAUCUAGACACAGGUGGUGCAUGGCUGUCGUCAGUUCGUGUUGUGAAAUGUUGGGUUAAGUCCCGCAACGAACGCAACCCUUGUCUUUAGUUAUUUUCUAAAGAGACUGCCUGUAAUAAACAGGAGGAAGGUAAGGAUGAGGUCAAGUCAUCAUGCCCCUUAUGUCCUGGGCUACACACGUGCUACAAUGGGAAAGACAAUGAGCUGCAAAUCUGUAAAUUUAAGCAAAUCUCUUAAACUUUCUCGUAGUUCGGAUUGUGGGCUGCAACUCGCCCACAUGAAGUUGGAAUCGCUAGUAAUCGCCAGUCAGCU